rnacentral:rRNA from 1 species
GAUGAACGCUGGCGGCGUGCCUAAUACAUGCAAGUCGAGCGAACAGACGAGGAGCUUGCUCCUCUGACGUUAGCGGCGGACGGGUGAGUAACACGUGGAUAACCUACCUAUAAGACUGGGAUAACUUCGGGAAACCGGAGCUAAUACCGGAUAAUAUACUGAACCGCAUGGUUCCAUAGUGAAAGACGGUUUUGCUGUCACUUAUAGAUGGAUCCGCGCCGCAUUAGCUAGUUGGUAAGGUAACGGCUGACCAAGGCAACGAUGCGUAGCCGACCUGAGCGGGUGAUCGGCCACACUAGAACUGAGACACGGUCCAGACUCCUACGGGAGGCAGCAGUAUGGAAUCUACCGCAAUGGGCGAAAGCCUGACGGAGCAACGCCGCGUGAGUGAUGAAGGUCUUCGGUUCGGAAAGCGCUGUUAUUAGGGAAGAACAAAUGUGUAAGUAACUAUGCACGUCUUGACGGUACCUAAUCAGAAAGCCACGGCUAACUACGUG